rnacentral:rRNA from 1 species
AACGUCUGACACAGGUGGCUGCAUGGCUGUCGUCAGCUCGUGUCGUGAGAUGUUGGGUUAAGUCCCGUAACGAGCGCAACCCUUGUCCUUAGUUACCAGCACGUUAUGGUGGGCACUCUAAGGAGGACUGCCGGUGGACAAACCGGAGGAAGGUGGGGAGUGACGUCAAGUCAUCAUGGCCCUUACCAGCCUGGGCUACACACGUGCUACAAUGGUCGGUACAAAGGGUUGCCAAGCCGCGAGGUGGAGCUAAUCCCAUAAAACCGAUCGUAGUCCGGAUCGCAGUCUGCAACUCGACUGCGUGAAGUCGGAAUCGCUAGUAAUCGUGAAUCAGAAUGUCACGGUGAAUACGUUCCCGGGCCUU